GAUGAACGCUGUCGGCGCGCCUAAUUCACGUAACUCUAUUGAACAUACUAGGAGCUUGCUCCUCUGUCGUUAGCUGCGGCCGGGUGAUUAACACGUGGAUUACUCACCUACUCAACUGGGAUUACUUCGGGAAACCUGAGCUAUUACCUGAUCAUAUAUUGAACCGCAUGGUCCUAUAGCGAAAGACGCUUUUGCUGUCCCUUAUAGUUGGAUCCGCGCCGCAUUAGCUAGUUGGUAAGGUAACGGCUUACCAAGGCAACGAUGCGUAGCCGACCUGAGAGGGUGAUCGGCCACACUGGAACUGAGAAAAGGUCCAGACUCCUACGGGAGGCAGCAGUAGGGAAUCUUCAGCAAUGGGCGAAAGCCUGAAGGAGCAACGCCGCGUGAGUGAUGAAGGUCUUCGGAUCGUAAAACUCUGUUAUUAGGGAAGAACAAAUGUGUAAGUAACUAUGCACGUCUUGACGGUACCUAAUCAGAAAGCCACGGCUAACUACGUG
rnacentral:rRNA from 1 species